UGCAGCAGGCGCGAAAACUUUACAAUGCGGGAAACCGUGAUAAGGGGACACCGAGUGCCAGCAUCAUAUGCUGGCUGUCCAGGUGUGUAAAAUACACCUGUUAGCAAGGGCCGGGCAAGACCGGUGCCAGCCGCCGCGGUAACACCGGCGGCCCGAGUGGUGAUCGUGAUUAUUGGGUCUAAAGGGUCCGUAGCCGGUUUGGUCAGUCCUCCGGGAAAUCUGACGGCUCAACCGUUAGGCUUUCGGGGGAUACUGCCAGGCUUGGAACCGGGAGAGGUAAGAGGUACUACAGGGGUAGGAGUGAAAUCUUGUAAUCCCUGUGAGACCACCUGUGGCGAAGGCGUCUUACCAGAACGGGUUCGACGGUGAGGGACGAAAGCUGGGGGCACGAACCGGAUUAGAUACCCGGGUAGUCCCAGCCGUAAACGAUGCUCGCUAGGUGUCAGGCAUGGCGUGACCGUGUCUGGUGCCGCAGGGAAGCCGUGAAGCGAGCCACCUGGGAAGUACGGCCGCAAGGCUGAAACUUAAAGGAAUUGGCGGGGGAGCAC
rnacentral:rRNA from 1 species